rnacentral:lncRNA from 1 species
UGGGUGUGUGUUUGUACUUAUAUAUAUUAUUAAUUCAAAUUAUAUAUUCAACUUAACUUUUAGAAACAUUAGAAAUAUGUGCAGAAUAGCGGCAGGAAGUGUUACUAUCAUGGAAAUAGUUGGGACAUAUAUCAUCUCUUAUCUGCACCUCCAAGAACUUAAAUGAUUUCUUUCCCCCAACCAAAAUAAAUCAAAGGAGAGGAAUCUUAAUUAUAGUCACCAGGUGGUGAAUUUAAUACAUCCACAUGAGUCUCUG